rnacentral:rRNA from 1 species
CCUACGGGAGGCAGCAGUGGGGAAUAUUGGACAAUGGGGGCAACCCUGAUCCAGCCAUGCCGCGUGUGUGAAGAAGGCCCUCGGGUUGUAAAGCACUUUCAGUGAGGAAGAACGCCUGGUGGUUAAUACCCAUCAGGAAAGACAUCACUCACAGAAGAAGCACCGGCUAACUCCGUGCCAGCAGCCGCGGUAAUACGGAGGGUGCGAGCGUUAAUCGGAAUUACUGGGCGUAAAGCGCGCGUAGGUGGCUUGAUAAGCCGGUUGUGAAAGCCCCGGGCUCAACCUGGGAACGGCAUCCGGAACUGGCAAGCUAGAGUGCAGGAGAGGAAGGUAGAAUUCCCGGUGUAGCGGUGAAAUGCGUAGAGAUCGGGAGGAAUACCAGUGGCGAAGGCGGCCUUCUGGACGGACACUGACACUGAGGUGCGAAAGCGUGGGGAGCAAACAGGAUUAGAUACCCCUGUAGUC